GUUUGUGAAAUAAAAGGCUGCCAUCUGUUUUUUUGUAUGUUUGUCUGCAGAGAGGACAUUGAACUGUCAGCAGUGUCCCUCCUACUAAUCAAGACUCUUAGAUAUCCUGACAACACAAAUCUUUAAUUCUUAUACAGUCCUUUCACUCGUAUUUACAUUAGUAGGUCAACUGUGGUCAAAGUGCAACAAUAAAUAUUCGCCUUUUGAUGUAGAUGUGGGUUCUGUCAGUUGUUUUAUUCACGCCACAAGCUGUAAUCCAAUUUUAAAAUUUAAUUUUAGAUGAAAAAUCUGAUUAUAACGUUGACAGAAAAAUAAGUUUUUAAAAAAUAAUUCUCUCUUUCUUCCUUUCUCUCUCUCGGCCACGGACGCUAUUACUGUAAAACAUCCAGAAAUAUUUCACUCCAGCUCAAGUUUAAAAACCGGAGCAGUGGGAAACUGUGAGGGGGAGGGAAAAAAAAGAGAAACAACAAAAAACUCACAAGUCUUAUCCUUUGAAUCUCAAAGAAAACUUUCUCACAUGACUUCCCAAAGUUAGUCCACCGCGUUGAAAGCAGCGAAAGAUUUAAAAAGAAAUGAUCUAAAGGCUUCCUUGUGUCGUACUUGGAAAGCUUUUAACUGAAAAGACUCAAACAGACUUACGUAUGAGGCUGUCACAUUUUACUCAUCUCAAAACUCCAAAUUCAAGCUGAAAAUAUUUAUGUAGUCACUCUUUCUAAAACUAAAGUUGUUUGAUGUGCGUGACUUUAUUAUAUUUACAACAUAAUUCUCUGCAUUGUGGAAAUUGCUAACUGUGUCAAGCUCAGAGAACUCGUUACGUAAGGUUAGCGUGUAGGUUUGACUUCAGGAAACUUGUGCUACAGGGGCGCAUUUGCUCUUCUCACCACAUACCUAACAUAUUUUAGAUAGUUGUAACACUUAGAUGCAAAAACAGGUCGAACAAAAGGUUAAACGCUGAGCGUUAGCAUCAAACGUGAUGUUUUCAUGCUGCAGCAGCAUCAGCUCCAUCUUCCUUCUCCCUCUGUUAGCUUAGCAACAGCAGCCAUUUUGUCUGCAUUUACAUUGUUCGAGACAUCUUUCUGAGGUUGCGCGCAUUUCUUUGAAUGGGACCACCAAUUUAAUUUAAACUUCUGCUGGAACAAGAGCUUUUAUUUUGAAGGAAUUAAGGUAAACUGCAGUGAUGCUUUUAUUUUCUGUUCAGAAGGUGCCAAAUGGUGUUUAGCAUUAACCACAUGACUGUCGCACAAAGGCACAUACGUACAAUACAUCCAUGUGCAUUCGCAUUGAGUGUGCGCACAUGCACGGAUGCGUGCACUUUCACACACAAACACACACGUAUGAAUGAGAUGAGUUUUUCCCUUUCUUAGAGGCUACUUCAACCACCCGCAGCUCCCUCCAUCAGCAGACAACCGAGCACAGGAUGUAUAAGCCCAGCUGUCCAGAGGUCACCUCAGCUUGUGUAUUUCCCUGGAGUGGAUUCACAGAAGCAGAGUGGACCAACAACAUGCAUUCAGCUUUCAGUUUUGACUGGACCUUCAGUCAAGCUUUAGGGGCUGUUCUGAUAUAUUUGAGGAGUCGUUCUCUCUGUUCAUUGUGGGUUUGUUCGAAGACCUGCUUUCUAUCUGCCACCACUGUACCAAAGUUUGGCUGUUGAGCCUCUUUUCAAAUGUUUGGCCUCUUGACAUGUGUUCCCCCCCCAUCCAUGUUUGAGGAACUGCUUUCUCUCUGCUUCCACUGUACCAGAGGUUGGCUUUUGAACGAUCAAAACAGUGCAGGUUCUGUGCCCGCUGGACUCCAGAUGUAAGCUUGGAUGCAGCCUUCCUCUAACCCACAGGAGAAGCAGCAAACAACAGCCGCGCAACAACCUCACUUAAUUACAGUCGGAGCUAUAUCUAAAAAAUCCUGAUGAGGAAACACAAAGGCUUAAGUCCACAGAGUAGAUUUGAUUACUCGUUCUUGUCCCUACCUUUUCUGUGUUUGCGAAAGAAAAGGAACAAAGGAGGAACCCUACUGAUCGAGAACCAGCAGAACAGUGAAACAACAGGACACAACUGAUCGCUCAUGCAUGGCUGGGAUUAGGAUAAAAGUAGAAAGAGCACAGAGAAGAAAGCAAACAACAAAAGGAACAGGGGACUGACAAACUUUUUUUCUUUUUCUUUUGUGGUGAAAAGGAUGGAAUGAAAGGUCUGGCCAUAUGAAAAGAUAGAGAGGGAAUGAUUACCAAACAGAGGCGGUCCUUUUCAGCCUCUGUACGCCUCCACGCUCACUCUUUUUAACCAGCUACAUGAAAGAUAAGGCUUGAGUCUCUGGUGACCAAUCUGACACAAACACAGCAGAUAAAAAUGAAUUGUUCAUCAAGAUAUUAGUAUUAAUUCAUUCCAUGUUUGUUUUAAGACCAACUCCAUGCUGUGCCAACCUUUUUCCAUGUGAACUUCUAAGAGCACAAAACUGGAACAUUGAGAUUGCCAUUGACCAACUGGCUUGUGAAAGUUGUUCAUUACACACCGACUAACAAGACAGCAGUCUUUUCAGCCCCUGCCUCCGCUAAGUGGAGAUCAUCCAACAAUACUUUGAGUGUCUCCCCUGCCUUUGGACUCAGUUCAAAUUAUAUUCUGUUCCUUAUUUAUCUCCCUCAACAAAAAUAGGAGGGGAAGGCAAGUGAUUAGAAUCCCCGUCUUUGACUUCUUUUCAUUGAAGGGGGCAUUUGUGAAUGUGAGGAGGUGAUUGGCUACGCCUCUAUUUCAGCUGGCUCGUUUUAAGUGGUGCACCACUAGUCCUCUCUUAACUUGUCUGGAGGUGAAUGAGGUCACGGUGAGGGUAGGAAACGAGUCACAGGCUUUCUUUAUAUUAUGAUUAUGCAGAUAAUGUGCACGUUAUGGGCCUAACUCACAGUAAAACUAAGAAUAUAUCCAAACACAUCUAAAAGCAACAUAAUUUAAACAUUAUUUAACUAGUUGGCCUGCAUUGCACACCUUCUAGCUAUGUUUUAGAUUAUUAACCUAUCAUUUAUCCUGUUUCAUUCUGCUGUUUGACCUAUAUAUUUUGCUUUUAUUUGUUUUUAUGUAUGUCUUUUCUUGUGGGGGUUGUUGAUGUUUUAGUUUUGUUUUUUUAUGUGAGUACAGCACUUUGGUUUGUCUCCUGGUCAAUGGAAGGUGCUUUAGAAACAAAGAUGAUGAUGAUGACGAUGAUGAUGAUGAUGACGAUGAUGAUGAUGA